CACCUCUAGCAUUUCCAGUAUUAGAGGCACUGCCUGCCCAGUGACAUCUGUUUAAACGGCCGCGGUAUCCUAACCGUGCAAAGGUAGCAUAAUCACUUGUUCCCUAAAUAGGGACUUGUAUGAAUGGCCACACGAGGGUUUUACUGUCUCUUACUUCCAAUCAGUGAAAUUGACCUUCCCGUGAAGAGGCGGGAAUGACUAAAUAAGACGAGAAGACCCUAUGGAGCUUUAAUUAACUGAUUCACAAAAAACAACACACAAACCUAACCUUCAGGGACAACAAAACUUUUGAUUGAAUCAGCAAUUUCGGUUGGGGUGACCUCGGAGAACAAAACAACCUCCGAGUGAUUUAAAUCCAGACUAACCAGUCAAAAUAUAUAAUCACUUAUUGAUCCAAACCAUUGAUCAACGGAACAAGUUACCCUAGGGAUAACAGCGCAAUCCUAUUCCAGAGUCCAUAUCGACAAUUAGGGUUUACGACCUCGAUGUUGGAUCAAGACAUCCUAAUGGUGCAACCGCUAUUAAGGGUUCGUUUGUUCAACGAUUAAAGUCUU
rnacentral:rRNA from 1 species